ensembl:lncRNA
AGGAGUACCAGUACCAGAUCAAUGUGGAGCUAUAAACAGGGAGUACCAGUACCAGAUCAAUGUGGAGCUAUAAACAGGGAGUACCAGAUCAAUGUGGAGCUAUAAACAGGGAGUACCAGUACCAGAUCAAUGUGGAGCUAUAAACAGGGAGUACCAGAUCAAUGUGGAGCUAUAAACAAGGAGUACCAGUACCAGAUCAAUGUGGAGCUAUAAACAGGGAGUACCAGUACCAGAUCAAUGUGGAGCUAUAAA